rnacentral:siRNA from 1 species
AUGUGCUUUGAUACAAAAAAUGC